rnacentral:lncRNA from 1 species
AAGAUUGGUAGUAAGCUUUCCCACUUCUUGUUCGACACCCGUCACAAGCCUCCACUUUUCUUUCACCUGAUCUUGAGCAAUGGAUUUCAGCUGGUCCAGGAGAGAGGAAACGAUCGCAUGAGCCAUUCAGAGGAAAGUAAGUUUUAUGUAUUCUGUGAGAAUGUUCAUUCAAGCAUGUUUGCAUUCUUCUUAUACCAUAUGAGAUAUUUAAUUUUUACCCUCGAGUCAAUGUCAAUAAUUGUACAGCGUCUGCCCUGUUUCUCUGAUUCAUAAUAAUUCAUUGUUAAUUCUGCAGAGUACACAGCGUCAGCACUUGUGAAAUUUCUUACAUUUGUAAAAUCAUGCAGCCGACCCUUGUUUCCAUCUGAUUGCGCAAUGUUUGGUAGGCGAAUGCGACUUCAUCGAUAUCGGGUCAUUGUGAAAAGGAAGAAAAGAUAACAUAAGUUAUGAUUAUUGUGAAUUUUCCAUCCCCUAUAUAAAUUCUUAGAUUUAUUUAAAUUGUGAGUCAUAGAAGUAUAUUACCUAAAUUAUUUUAUCAGGCCAUGUUCGGAUACUAGGAGUAAGUACGGAAUUGGACUAAUUUUGUGAUUAUAUAUUUAUCUCAUAUUUGAUAAGCUUAAUUGAAUUGGAUUUAGG